rnacentral:rRNA from 1 species
GACGAACGCUGGCGGCGUGCUUAACACAUGCAAGUCGAACGGCAAGGCCCUUCGGGGUACACGAGUGGCGAACGGGUGAGUAACACGUGGGUGAUCUGCCCUGCACUUCGGGAUAAGCCUGGGAAACUGGGUCUAAUACCGGAUAGGACCACUGCCUGCAUGGGUGGUGGUGGAAAGCUUUUGCGGUGUGGGAUGGGCCCGCGGCCUAUCAGCUUGUUGGUGGGGUGAUGGCCUACCAAGGCGACGACGGGUAGCCGGCCUGAGAGGGUGACCGGCGACACUGGGACUGAGAUACGGCCCAGACUCCUACGGGGGGCAGCAGUGGGGAAUAUUGCACAAUGGGCGCAAGCCUGAUGCAGCGACGCCGCGUGAGGGAUGACGGCCUUCGGGUUGUAAACCUCUUUCAGCACCGACGAAGCGCAAGUGACGGUAGGUGCAGAAGAAGGACCGGCCAACUACGUGCCAGCCGCCGCGGUAA